AAAUAAAUGAAUAUUUUUUAAAAAAGAAACCCCUAACUGAUUGAAGCCAACAUGAUCUGUUGUUUGUUUUUGAGGUGGUGUUCUGUUAACUUCCAGCAGGAUGCAGAAUCUAACUGAUGGAGUUUCACUCUUGUCAUCAAGGGUGGAGUGCAGUGGUGCGAUCUCGGCUCACUGCAACCUCGGCCUCCCAGGUUCCAGCAAUUCUCCUGCCUCAGCCUCCUGAGUAGCUGGGAUUACAGGCAUCUGCCACCACGCCCAGGGAAAUGGAGGAAACAUGGACAAACCAUAGAAAAUGAGAGACAAACUGCAAAUCUACCAAACAACCAAAGAAGAAGGACACAUUGCUUUCAAAGGAGCAUCAAUAAGACUAAUGAUGACUUUUCAAAAGAAACUAUGGAAGCAAGAAGACAAUGAAUGACAUCUGACAUAUAAAGGGUUAAAUGGGUUGGAGGAGGGGGAAAUUGUCAAUCAAAAGUUCUGUAACCUAAGAAAAUAUUCUUCAAAACUGAAGGCAACAAUGUUUUCCAAUGGGAGGGAAUUUUUUUUUUUUUUGAGAUGGAGUCUUACUCUGUCGCCAUGCUGGAGUGCAGUGGCAUGAUCUCGGCUCACUGCAACCUCCUCCUCCUGGGUUCAAGUGAUUCUCCUGCCUCAGCCUCCUGAGUAGCUGGGACUACAGGUGUGUGCUACCACGCCCAGCUAAUUUUUGUAUUUUUAGUGGAGACAGGGUUUCACCAUGUUGGCCAGGAUGGUCUUGAUCCUUUGACCUCACAUGAUUUGCCCACCUCGGUCUCCCAAAGUGCUGGGAUUACAGAUGUGAGCCACCACGCCCGGCCUGGGAGGGAUUUUUUUAAGCUGAGAGAAUUAACAGCAUAACUGUAUUUUCAGAAACACUGAAGAGAUUUCUUCAGGCUUCAGGAAAAUGAUUCCAUAGAGACAUACAUAAUUCCAGGAAUUAAGAUCAACAGGAAACAUAAGAUGCAAGUAAAUAUAAAUCAGUACUGACUGUAUAAAACAACCCUGUAUAGUUUUACAACUUUUAUGUAUAUCUAAACUUUCCAAAAUAAAAUGCUUUUAAAAACACA